GACAUUCGCCUUUAACCCAUGUUGGUCCUUCAUAAAUUGCUAAAGGAUUCCCCUUGCUAUUUUACCUUUCAAAACACCUUUUGUGUCAUUCAGGAUAUUCACACUCAGAUGAGGAUUAGUUUAGCUAAGAAAAGGCAAAGGUUGUAUUAUCUUGAGCCAAGAAAGAUACCCACUGUAAAUGUUGUUAAGUUAAGUCCUUUGGCUUGUUCUAU
rnacentral:lncRNA from 1 species